rnacentral:tRNA from 1 species
AUUAUCUUGGCAGAAAUAGUGCAUUAAAUUUAGAUUUUAAAUAUAUAUAUAUAAAUAUUAUAGAUAAUA